UGUCAUACAGUGAAAUUUAAUUCAGCAAAAAAAAAAAAAAAUGAAAAGAGUACUGAUUCAUGCUGCAAUGUGGAUGAACCUUGAAAAGAAGGAAAGUGAAAGAAGUCAGACUCAAAAGAUCAGUUAGUGUAUGAUCCCAUUUAUAUGAAAUAUCCAGACUAGAUAAAUCUAUAGAGACAGAAUGCAGAUCGUCAUUUUGCAGGGAUUGUAGGCAGGGAGGAAUGGGGAAGAACAGCUUAAUAGGAACAAGGUUAUACUUUGUAAUGGAAAUGCUUUGGAAGUAGUAGAUGAUGAACAACAUGGUGUGAAUGUACUAAAUGCCACUGAAUUAUUUUCUUCAAAAUGAUUCAUUUCUUAUUAUGUGAACUUCAUCUCAAUAAAUUAUUAAACAGGGAAAAAAAAUCCCUUCUCUCAGGGCUCAGCUCAAAUGCCACCCACUCUCAGACAUUUCCUUUGAUUCUGGCAGCUGGAGGUGGCCUUUGUGACUUUCUCGGUUCACCUUCUUUGGCUUCCAGUGCUUUGUCUCCUGUGUGUUGUCCUUCUGUCCCUCCUGACACAGAGCAUGGGUCCAGGGUCUGGAUCACCUUCCCAUGCUCUGGGGCCCACACUUCCUCUUUAGCCUUGCUGCUCAUGCCCCUGCAGCUCCUACUAUGGGCCUAGAGUUCAGAUUUGAUUGUCUUUUUGCAGCCAUUACAGUAAAUCUGUGAAUGGAGAAACAAAGAACAUGGGAACUUGGAGCCGGCCAGACCUGCAAGACCUUGUGUGUAUUACUUAACAUUUCGAGGGCUAAGAUUUUUUUGUCUGAAAUUGGAGUGCCUGUGCCAUAGUGCUGACAUGUUAGACAAGCAAGCCGGAGUAGUGUGUGUAACUCUUGACUUGUCCAGGCAGCAUCUGUCUUCCCUUCCUUUUCAAACUGUGAUACAGAACCCAAGCAUGCUCUCCAAGGGAUUUACCCAGGACAUGGCUCUUCCUCUAGAUAUGGUUGGGUUUAUUACUGUCUGCCCCUGAAACAGACUUCAUAGCAGAGGUACUGACCAUUCAUGGGAUAGGAUAUCCCUCAUGCAGAUUCUGUAGUUUUAAUUUGAGAGAAAGUUCAUGGGCCCAGGCUGGAUCACCAGCAGCAGCCCCAAGACAGUCAUGGUGGUUCAGUGCACUUAUUUAG
rnacentral:lncRNA from 1 species